CUUUUGAGCCCACUAUUGGGAACCACUCGGCCCAAUUUAUAUUUUCCUUCAUUUCCCCCAAAUAUGAUCGUGUAAAACUUGCCCUAAACUCUCAUUUCCCCCAAAUAUAAUUUCGCUUGAUCGUGUCUGAGGAAGAGAAUCUGAUUUGCCUCUGUCAAUUUCGCUCUAUAGAUCACCAUGGUCGUCUGAAGAAGAUAUCUCCAACGGUAGUCUGAUUUUGGAAAUAAGCUUUGGUUUGAAUCAAUUUGCUACAGGUGUCCUUUUUAAAGAACCAUGUUAAUAUUGCUAGUGGGACACCAAGCAGGUUUCUUCAUUUGGUAUUUCUGAUCAAACUGAUGUUAAGGGUUAUUCCUUAUUAACACUUCCUCGAAGAUGAGUUAUGGGACUUGUAUAAGAACCACUUGCACCCACGACUAGUUCAAGGUGAUCUUCGUAUCUGUCUCUAUGGUCUGAUACCAAUUAGCUCCAAGGUAAACAAGGAAGUUACUAGUGACUGAACAACAUCAUAUUGAGGUGUAGCUCAAUAGUUGACUUUGUUGUGCAUGUUGGCAUCUAGAUUUUUGUCUGUCUAUGUGUGGUUUUGGAUAAUCCCCUGAAAAAUCUCUCUUUUAGAUGUGGACUCAUUAACCUUUUUGCUUUUUAUCUCAACUAAUCUAUGGAAAGGACAAUCAAUGGAGAUUGGGAAAGAGAAUCCAGAUAUAUUUUUUACAGAUGGUGAAGGAAGGAGAAGUACUGAAUGCCUAUCUUGGGGCAUUGAUAAAGAACGAGUACUAAAAGGAAAAAGUGCUAUAGAGGGGUCAUCAAUUGGACUAAUUAAGUCAAUGCAGCCGGCUAUCAGCAAUCCGGCAUCUGCUGAUUCCGUGAUAAGCUCUAAAACUGAUCCAAAUCUUUGCUUUGCAACGCAUACCCAUUCCAGCAUCUCAUUUUCUGGUCUUAGCAUGGAGAGUAGUGCUGCAGAUCAUCAAGACUGGUGCUUCUCCAAUGGUUCUCAUGGGAGAGCUGCCUCCAUUGUGUCCUGAAAGUUCAUUCCCUUCAACUAGUAGGAGCAGCGCUGUUAUGCGUUACAUGGAAAAGAAGAAGACACGCAAGUAAGAGU